CAUGUAGGCGGCUUAAUAAGUCGAGCGUGAAAAUGUGGGGCUCAACCCCGUAUGGCGCUGGAAACUGUUAGGCUUGAGUGCAGGAGAGGAAAGGGGAAUUCCCAGUGUAGCGGUGAAAUGCGUAGAUAUUGGGAGGAACACCAGUGGCGAAGGCGCCUUUCUGGACUGUGUCUGACGCUGAGAUGCGAAAGCCAGGGUAGCGAACG
rnacentral:rRNA from 1 species